rnacentral:misc_RNA from 1 species
GGGAGUUAUACAAGUUCAAAGGCAGAUUUGAUUGUCAUGCUUGUGUAACAAAUUUUCAAUAGCCAUCACCCAAACAAAACUAAACUCUACAAUCCCAUCCAAGGUCAGUAUAACGUCUUAGAAACAAAUAAUCCAGGCAAUGUGUCAACACCAUUCUAAGAAGUGAAAUCUGACAACCUAAAUUAUGGCAAAAUUUGCUUCUUAUUUGAA